rnacentral:rRNA from 1 species
CCUACGGGGGACAGCAGUGGGGAAUAUUGCACAAUGGGCGAAAGCCUGAUGCAGCAACGCCGCGUGAAGGAAGAAGGGUUUCGGCUCGUAAACUUCUAUCAACAGGGACGAAAGAAAUGAUGGCACCUGAAGAAGCAGCCCCGGCUAACUACGGGCCAGCAGCCGCGGUAAUACGUAGGGGGCAAGCGUUAUCCGGAAUUACUGGGUGUAAAGGGUGAGUAGGCGGCAUGGUAAGCCAGAUGUGAAAGCCUUGGGCUUAACCCGAGGAUUGCAUUUGGAACUGUCAAGCUGGAGUGCAGGAGAGGAAGGCGGAAUUCCUAGUGUAGCGGUGAAAUGCGUAGAUAUUAGGAAGAACAACGGUGGCGAAGGCGGCUUUCUGGACUGAAACUGACGCUGAGGCACGAAAGCGUGGGGAGCGAACAGGAUUAGAUACCCGAGUAGUC